CUCUCCCUCUCCAUCUCCCUCUUCCUCGUCCGCCGCCGCCAUUCACCGCAGCCCUCCGCCACAGCCGCCGCCGCCACCAGAGCCCACCCCAACAGCCUGCAACCCAGCCCUCUCUCCCUGCGCUCAUAUUAUCCCCACCACCAGUGAGCUCAUCCCCUUCACCUUGCCCCAGAUCGAGCAGCAGGUUCGGAUCCACGGCCACGACGGUGUGAGUGCCUCGAUGUAGAUUCAAGACGCUUGAGGUCGGUGCUCGUUGCGGCUCUUACUCUCGUGCCGACGCCAUGGACAAGGAGAGCAUCUCUCUCUGAUCGUGAAGCAGCCCCAAUCCUAGCCCUUCUUUGGCCAUGGGGACUGAGCAGGCAGGAGGUACGAACCCCUCCUCGCCUCCCAAAACCAACUCCUGGAUUUCCUGUUGAUGACAGAGGAACAAGGAUGACAAUCAUUCAGUACUUGAAGGACAUAUACAACUGCAAUCUGCGUAUUUUAUUCAACUACAUGAUCGACCAACACUCUUUUCUAUAGCAUGGCAGCAGCUUUGGUUUCUGGCGCUCUAUUCUCCAUUGUAAGUGGAAUGAGAACCCCAAAUCCAGUUGUUAACGCAAUUACAGCUGGUUGGCAGAAAUUCUCAAAGACAAAGACACACAAUGAAGAUAUUAACUAUUCUGAAAUAAUAUGUUGAACCAAUUAGGACUUCAAAACUAUGAAAAGAAUUUCAAGAAGGGUCUUCUGACUGAUGAAACAUUGCCUUUUAUCAAUGAAAGUUAGAGAGUAGUCCGUGCCUCAUCAUCGGGCAUCCUCUGGAGCUUCCCCGAGGUGACAAGUGCUUCCCACGGUGUCUCUCUCUGUUCUUAUUGCUACUGCACACAAGCUACUGACCUUGCAGACCAGGACAUACAUCCUGGUGAGCUCCUUGGUCAUCGACUGGUCCAUCACCGAGUCUUUGCAUAGAGUUAGAGAAAACAUAUGAGUUCGACAACUUGCGUUGAGGAAAACUGAUGCAAGCAAAGUGUAUAUACGUCACCAGAAAUUUCCAAAGCAUCGGAUGUUCUGAGAUUGAUCAG